rnacentral:rRNA from 1 species
UACGGAGGGUGCAAGCGUUAAUCGGAAUUACUGGGCGUAAAGCGCGCGUAGGCGGCUUGUUAAGUCGAAUGUGAAAUCCCCGGGCUCAGCCUGGGAACUGCAUCCGAUACUGGCUGGCUAGAGUGUGGUAGAGGGAAGUGGAAUUCCAGGUGUAGCGGUGAAAUGCGUAGAUAUCGGAAGGAACAUCAGUGGCGAAGGCGGCUUACUGGACCCAAACUGACACUGAGGAGCGAAAGCGUGGGGAGCAAACAGGAUUAGAAACCCGGGUAGU